rnacentral:tRNA from 1 species
CGGUAGCUCAGUUGGUAGAGCACCUGCCUUUUAAGCCGGUUGUCCGGGGUUCGAGCCCCC